GGACAAAGCCCCUGCAGGGAGCACUCAGGGGGGACCAACGAGGAACUGUGUGUAGAUGAAAUCACAUCUGCCUGUGAUCCUUACCAGGCAUGUCCAGGGUGGUUAUCUCCUCCUCUUGAAGUUCUGAAACCUCGAAGGGACCUUACAGAUGAGUUGGUCCCACUCUGUUGUUACGGAGAAGGAAGCUAAACACAGAGAGGAUGAGUGAAGGACCCAGUAACCCAGUUUACAGAGCUAGGUCUUGAAUCUAAUUGUUAGGUUCUUUCCCUGUGCUUUUUCCCUUUGGACACAUGCCCUUAUAUAAGAUAG
rnacentral:lncRNA from 10 species